CCCCCCAAUUGCAAGACCCUGUGCACGCCUAUGGCUGAAACAGUCUGCUACUUGUACCAGCGUACAUGCAUUCUUUUCUGCAUAUGAAUGGCAAAACGGAUUUCGAGCAUAUCUGCAGCGCUAUUUUGUAUUGCUCCCCAUUGCAGGUGUGCAACGCGGAACUUCGCAUUCUUGUUGUGGACCCCCGGUUCCCUGGUUCGUGCCACGACUCUUGGGUGUGGCAGCAUAACCCACUGCGUGCACGCCUAGCCGCACAACUGCAGCCUGGCGAGUAUCUGCUUGGAGACUCAGGAUAUCCCCUCGAGCCAUGGCUGCUUGUUCUAGUACCUGGCAGCCAUGCCGGCACCACCUCUGAAGGCCACUACAACCGGGAGCACGCAUCCAUGCGCAAUGUUGUGGAGAGAUGUAUCGGGGUGUUGAAAAGCAAGUUCCGCUGCUUGCAGCACUUUCGGGCACUGCUACAGAGGCCCGAUAGAGCAGCGCGAAUCAUUUAUGCAUGCGUUGCUCUCCAUAACAUUGCCUUGGACGCGGGCGACUGGACAUUGGACGAUUAUGGUGCGGAAGUGCCACCAGCUGAGGAGCCAGAGGAGCCAGGAGACAUCCAGGUGCUGGCACCGCACGACAUGUUCCUCAGAGGAAAACAGCAGCGCAGCGCCGUUGUCAACCUUUUCUGAAGGACACAGGAAUGGGGCGCAGCGAUGUCUUGCGCUAUGGCGCGCACCUGCUCCAAGAUCCCUUCCUGAGCUGCUGCCGUCCGCUCUGCCGCGACAGCGAGGCGGGUGGUGGAGGCCUCGAUUCUCCGCAGCACCUGGAAUGAGUAAUCAUGGUGGAACUGUU
rnacentral:lncRNA from 1 species